rnacentral:piRNA from 1 species
UGAAUUUCUGAUCCUUCUGCCUCUGUCUCC